GCCCCUUUAAUCAGACAUGCGCAAAGAUGUCAGCGGGAGCGGUACCAGGAGUGAUCACCUUCGGCUAUCGCAAUUACUUUUAUGACGGCAAAAGACGGACACCACAGUGCGAGCGAGAUAUGCAACAAAAACAUUUCGGACAGCCAGACGACAACUUCAAACUUUGUCCGUCAUUUGAAGAACCAUUCUGCCAAGACGAGCGAACUCACCCGCGCCACGACGUCCUCCUCGUCGCCGCCGCUGUCGUCACCCUCAGCAUGGUUCCACCCGCAGCACGAGCACAAGAGUGACGAUGCAGCAGCUUAAGGAAGAACACGCCCCUGCUGUCCUGUACCGCCCUCGGUCAGCUGAUAGCAGACGCCUCGACCCACGGCUGUUUUCAGGACAUACAAAGUUGGCACGCAUGCUCACGCUGCAUGACCACGUCGAUGACCGCAUGAUGUCGCUGUUGUUUUGCACUGUUUUGUUCCACUUUUACUAUUUGCAGAGGUUUAAAAAAGGCAUCGAUACUACUUGCUCUUUUUGUCACGGAUCUUUCGAAGACGCGUUCCACACGUUUUGAGAUUGCCCACAUUCCGUUCAUUUUUGGAAAGACGUAUCUAUUAUCAUUUUUGUUCUUGUAGCUUGUGUAAUGUAGAGUCAUGCUAGAUGGCUAAGCUAAGUUCUGCUAGGAAGCUUAAAGAAAUUUCCAAACAAAUAGAGUCCCUGGGGGGUAUUCCAGAAAGCGGGUUAUGUGAAAACUCAGUAAGUUAGAUCUUGGGUUGCCUAAUGGCGGUCAGUACACGAGGUACGGCAGCAGAUGAAACAACAACCCCCAUCUCCAGGUCAGAAGGUUUUACAGUAAUUCCUCGUUUAUAGCGGAUAAUCGGUUUCAAAAGCCAUCCGCGAUAAGUGAAAUCCAUAUAAAAUAAUAUUACAAACCGGAUUCGAUUGAAGUUAGGAAAUUGUGUAAAAUGUAAAUAAAACCAAAAUACAAUGAUUUGAAAAUCCUUUUCAAUCUUUAUUCAAUUGAAUACACUGCAAAGGGCGGUUCGGUCCCUGUAUCACCGAUGCCAGAGUUUGGUCCGCAUUUUCGGCAGUAAGUUGGAUUCGUUCCCGGUGAGGGUUGGACUCCGCCAAGGCUGCCCUUUGUCACAGAUUCUGUUCAUAAUUUUUAUGGACAGAAUUUCUAGGCGCAGCCGAGGCAAUGAGGCGGUCCAGUUUGGGGACCUCAGCAUCGCGUCUCUGCUUUUUGCAGACGACGUGGUGCUGUUGAGGCCGUCCGUGAUCUCCAGCUUUCACUGGUGCGGUUCGCAGCCGAGUGUGAAGUGUUCGUCGGGAUGAGGGUCAGCACCUCCAAAUCCAGUCCAUGGUCCUCGGUUGGAAAAGGGUGGAAUGCCCUCUCCGGAUCGGGGAAGAGAUCCUGCCCCAAGUGGAGGAGUUCAAGUAUCUUGGGGUCUUGUUCACGAGUGAGGGGAGGAUGGAGCGCGAGAUCGACAAGCGGAUCGGUGCAGCGUCGGCAGUAAUGCGGACUCUGUACCGGUCCGUUGUGGUAAAGAGAGAGCUGAGCCAAAAGGCAAAGCUCUCAAUUUACCGGUCGAUAUCCGCUCCUACCCUCACCUAUAGUCACGACCUAUGGGUCGUGACCGAAAGAACGAGAUCCCUGAUACAAGCGGCCGAAAUGAGUUUCCUCCGCAGGAUGUCCGGGCUCUCCCUUAGAGAUAGGGUGAGAAGCUCGGUCAUCCGGGAGAGACUCCGGGGACAACCCAGAACGCGCUGGAGAGACUAUGUCUCUCAGCUGGCCUGGGAAUGUCUUGGGAUCCCCCGGAAUGAGCUGGAUGAAGUGGCUGGGGUGAGGCAAGUCUGAGAGUCCCUCCUAAAACUGCUGCCCCCGCGAAUCAAUCCCGAAUAAGCGGAAAAAGAUGGAUAGAUAGAUGGACACACGACAAAGACAACAUAUUUAAUGCUCAAACUAAUCAACUUUAUUUUAUUUUUCAAAUAAUAAUUACCGUUUUUUUCCGUGUAUAGUGCGCAAAAUUUAACUAAUUUAUUGUCCUAAAAUCUGGGGUGCGUGUUAUACAUGGGUACAAAAAAAAAAAAUGUAAUCUUUUUUUUUUUAUUAUUAUUUUUUUUUAAAGAAAGUCAUGGUACAACAAAACCAACAACAGGACUGACCGACAAAGUCGUGGAACAAAAAGACAGGGUGACAGUACCAAAGACAGGAACAGAAUGACAGUAACACAUGCAAUGAUCCAACGGUGAGCGAGGGGCAGACAGGACUUAAAUACAAAACACGUUACAUCGAUUGAGGUGACACACGAAGAGAGGGGCGACGCGGACAGAAACUAUGGCAACCUAGACACAUAGCAAAACUGGGGACGAGACAUGACAAAUCUCCCCCGAAAUAAAACUUACCUUUCUUCUUGUUUGUUGUCAAUCGCGCGUCGCAUUCAGCCAUCGUGCCCAACACACUUAGUCAAAAAAAUCCAUAAUUGACGACACAUCGUUUGAUGCGAUGGUGCAAUCCUUGAUGGUGUGUUAUUGUCAAAUAUUGUUUGUUUUUAAUCUCCAUCGCGGACCGGACGUCAUACGGAGGCCGCCAUUACAGAUGCGCAGAACGUAUGCGCAAGACACGUCAGCUAUAUUAAGAGCGAGAUAUGUUUUCUUCCUAUUAGUUUCAAUUCACAGUUUAAUUAGCAGUUUCAAUCAGCAAAUAACAAAAUGCGUAUUACAGGUAAUAUUUUAUUUCACAACACUUUGCCUUGUUCCUUUCGUCUCUGCUGUUCAUUUCAAACACGCUCCAUACGACCGCAAUGCUCUUGUAUCAGACGCUCGCUCGAUCACCUGCUAGUUUGCUGUCACAAUGUACCCUACACAAAUCCGAAACAUUUGUUGCGGCUCCGAGUCACGACGAGGGGCAAGUUUUGGUUUCCAAGGGUGUUUUUAUUCCUCUUCAACGUCUCUCCCAUACAGAGCCGCCUCGGAGCGCGGUGGUGCGUUUAUGGGCAGUCGGAGAAAUCAACGCCAACAAAAAAAAUUACAUCCAGCCUAGUUAAGACCAUACCAAAGACGAUAAAAAUGGGACCCAUUGCCUCCCUGCGUGUGUGACGAUCAUUGGGACUUAAAAAAGAAAAAAAAAAAAGAAAAUUUUUUUUUUUUAAAAAUUCAUCAAAAUUGGGUGCGUAUUAUACAUGGGUACAAGCUUUUUUCCAGCAUCAGCAUGCCAUUCUUAGGGUGCGUACUAUACAUGGGGGCGCACUAUACACGGAAAAAAACGGUAACUUAGAAUUUCAUGGCUGCAACACGUGCAGUAGAAGUUGGGAAAGGGCAUGUUUACCACUUCAUUACAUCACCUUUCCUUUUAAUAACACUAAAUAAACGUUUUGGAAGAGAGGAGACUAAUUCUCUUAGCUACUCAUGUGGAAUUCUUUCCCAUUCUUGCUUGAUGAACCACUUCAGUUGUUCAACAGUCCAGGGUCUUCCCUGUCCUAUUUUGUGCUUCAUAAUGCGCCACACAUUUUCAAUGGGAGACAGGUGUGGACUACUAGUGGGCCAGGGGAGAACCUGGACUCUUUUACUUCAAAGCAAUGCUGUUGUAACACGUGCAGAAUGUGGUUUGGCAUUAUCUUGCUGAUAUAAGCAGCGGCGUCCAUGAAAAAUACGUCGCUUGGAUGGCAGCAUAUGUUGCUCCAAAAUCUGUAUGUACUUUUCAGCAUUUAUGUUGCCUACACCGAAAUGUAAGUCACCCAUGCCAUGAGAACUAAUGCACCCCCUACCAUCACGGAUUCUGGCUUUUGAAUUUUGCGUUGAUAACAGUCUGGAUGGUCCGCUUCCUCUUUGGUCCAGAGGACAUGUCGUCCAGUGUUUCCAAAAAGGAUUUGAAAAGUGGACUCAUCAGGCCACAAAACCCUUUUACAUUGUGCAUCAGUCCAUUUUACAUGAGCUCGGGCCCAGAGAACCCGGCGGCAUUUCUGGAUGUUGUUCAUAAAUGGCUUUUGCUUUGCAUGGUGGAGUUUUAACACACACUUACUGAUCACUUCACUGGUUCUUUUAUAUCAAACAAAUUAUUUUAGGUGCAUUACCUGACAUGUUUCGGCGGGUUCUUCCGCCUUCAUCAGAGUGUCACUGAUGUGGUUGUGACGCUUUAUCAGCUGAUGGAUGAAGCCGUGGCUCACCUGUCAGAUUUGACAGGUGGGUCACGCCCUCUGCUGUCCGUUCACCUCUCCGUAAUUCUGUUCCAGGUUGUAGAGAGCAUGUAGGCUCCCUCUUCCCUGUUGAUGGUCCUCGGGCCCCGCUUGCGGAUCUCAAUGGCCUCCCAGAUCCAACGCUGAUAUUUGUUUUCUUCAGUGCGGAUGACUCUGGCAUUUUCCCAGUCCAUAAUGUGGUUUUCUCUUUUACAGUGGUCGGUAAUGGCUGACUUGUAGUGUUCCUGUUCUGCUUGUAGUUUUAUUGCUCUUGUUUGUCUUGUUGCUGUCUCCUUCUCACACUCCUUCUUGUGUUCUGUUUUUCUUGUGAUGAAGUUCCUCCCUGUCUCCCCGAUGUAUGAUUUAUUGCAUGAUUUGCACGGAAUCUCAUAUAUAGAAUUGUAUUUAUUUUCCGGGUUGACUCUGUCUUUUGGGUGGACCAGUAUCUGACUGAGUGUUGUAUGUGGUUUGAUAGGUGUGUUUAUGUUGUAUUUUUUCAUGGCUCUUUUGAUGCGUUCCGUAAUUCCUCUCACAUACGGCAACGUCACCAUUCCGCUGGGUUCUCGUUUCCGUGUUUGUUUCUUUCUUUCCCCCUGUGUUUUGUAUUUUUUGUUUUUGAAACCAUCUGUGUCACUCCAAAUCAUUAAAUCCAUCGAUCGUCCUUUAUGUCAACAAUGCCAGCCAGGUGCGCGCCGCUGAUGGCGCUUGCACUUCAAAAUAUUCCACAGGCCCAUAUAACGAUAUAUAAAUUAUAUAUCAAAUAACUAUUAUAUAAGCAAUAAUAUUAUCAAACCAUCUGUGUCACUCCAAAUCAUUAAAUCCAUCGAUCAAAUUCCUCGUCCUUUGUCAACAACCCUCACGUCAGCCUCGUCGUUAUUCCACAGAUCUAGUACAUGACUACUAUAUUGUAGCGUUAAAGUACAAGGAAAGACGUGGGUUUGGUAAACGGCUCUUUAUUUAACAAAACGAGAGUUCAACGAGCCAACAACUACUGUACUGACUGUAACGAUAAAAACAUAUACAAGUUGCUAUACAAAAUAAAACUUAUCAAAUAACUAUAACCAGGGCUGUGGACUCGGUCGGAUUUUUGCUCCGAGUCCGGCUGUCCAUUUUUUCUGUUAAUUCAUGUGACUGCUUAGUCUUUAUUCAAGGCUAAUUUAGAUCAAAAUCUAAAUAAUUACAACAGUUUUGUGAUGGCUUUUUGGUUUACCGUUUUUUUCCGUGUACGCUUAAGCAAUUAUGUAGAAAGCAUGAGCGCAGAUGGCGUCUAACCAAACUUGAGGUUUUCCAUCAGGCAUGGCAGGAUAGCCUCCUGAAAUAUAAAGAUGCGCUUAUCUUAGCAAAAACUCGGUAUUUUUCGCAAGUUAUUAAUCUCAAUAAAAAUAAUCUGAAACACCUAUUUGA